rnacentral:rRNA from 1 species
UUAGUGGCGGACGGGUGAGUAGCGCGUGAGUAAACUGCCUCUAAGAGGGGAAUAACAUUCUGAAAAGAAUGCUAAUACCGCAUAAUAUAUAUUUAUCGCAUGGUAGAUAUAUCAAAGAUUUAUCGCUUAGAGAUGGACUCGCGUCCGAUUAGUUAGUUGGUGAGGUAACGGCCCACCAAGGCGACGAUUGGUAGCCGGACUGAGAGGUUGAACGGUCACAUUGGGACUGAGACACGGCCCAGACUCCUACGGGAGGCAGCAGUGGGGGAUAUUGCACAAUGGGGGAAACCCUGAUGCAGCGACGCCGCGUGGAGGAAGAAGGUUUUCGGAUUGUAAACUCCUGUCGUUAGGGACGAUAAUGACGGUACCUAACAAGAAAGCACCGGCUAACUACGUGCCAGCAGCCGCGGUAAAACGUAGGGUGCAAGCGUUGUCCGGAAUUACUGGGUGUAAAGGGAGCGCAGGCGGACCGGCAAGUUGGAAGUGAAAUCUAUGGGCUCAACCCAUAAAUUGCUUUCAAAACUGCUGGCCUUGAGUAGUGCAGAGGUAGGUGGAAUUCCCGGUGUAGCGGUGGAAUGCGUAGAUAUCGGGAGGAACACCAGUGGCGAAGGCGACCUACUGGGCACCAACUGACGCUGAGGCUCGAAAGCAUGGGUAGCAAACAGGAUUAGAUACCCUGGUAGUCCAUGCCGUAAACGAUGAUUACUAGGGUGUUGGAGGAUUGACCCCUUCAGUGCCGCAGGUUAACACAAUAAGUAAUCCACCUGGGGAGUAGGACCGCAAGGUUGAAACUCAAAGGAAUUGACGGGGGCCCGCACAAGCAGUGGAGUAUGUGGUUUAAUUCGAAGCAACGCGAAGAACCUUACCAGGUCUUGACAUCCGAUGCAUAGUGCAGAGAUGCAUGAAGUCCUUCGGGACAUCGAGACAGGUGGUGCAUGGUUGUCGUCAGCUCGUGUCGUGAGAUGUUGGGUUAAGUCCCGCAACGAGCGCAACCCUUACUGUCAGUUACUACGCAAGAGGACUCUGGCAGGACUGCCGUUGACAAAACGGAGGAAGGUGGGGAUGACGUCAAAUCAUCAUGCCCUUUAUGACUUGGGCUACACACGUACUACAAUGGCGUUAAACAAAGAGAAGCAAGACCGCGAGGUGGAGCAAAACUCAGAAACAACGUCCCAGUUCGGACUGCAGGCUGCAACUCGCCUGCACGAAGUCGGAAUUGCUAGUAAUCGUGGAUCAGCAUGCCACGGUGAAUACGUUCCCGGGCCUUGUACUCACCGCCCGUCA